rnacentral:pre_miRNA from 1 species
AUAGUACUCCCUCCGUCCGAAAAUACUUGUCAUCAAAAUGGAUAAAAGAAGAUGUAUCUAGACGUAUUUUAGUUUUAAAUAUAUCUCUUUUUAUUCAUUUUGAUGACAAGUAUUUUCGGACGGAGGGAGUAUGUA